AUGCAAGUCGAACGAGGCCCUCUUCCUUCGGGAGGAGGUGUCCUAGUGGCGAACGGGUGAGUAACACGUUGGUGACCUACCCCGAAGAGGGGGACAACCCCGGGAAACUGGGGCUAAUACCCUAUGUGAUCCUAAGGAUUAGAUGCCUAAGGAUGAAAUGGAGCAAUUCGCUUCGGGAGGGGCCUGCGGCCUAUCAGCUAGUUGGUGAGGUAAUGGCUCACCAAGGCGACGACGGGUAGGGGACCUGAGAGGGUGACCCCCCACACUGGAACUGAAACACGGACCAGACACCUACGGGUGGCAGCAGUAGGGAAUAUUGCACAUAGGCGAAAGCCUGAUGCAGCAACGCCGCGUGCGCGAUGAAGGCCUUAGGGUUGUAAAGCGCUUUUCUGGGGGAAGAGAAAGGACGGUACCCCAGGAAUAAGUCUCGGCUAACUACGUGCCAGCAGCCGCGGUAAAACGUAGGAGGCGAGCGUUAUCCGGAUUUACUGGGCGUAAAGCGCGUGCAGGCGGUUUGGUAAGUCGGACGUGAAAGCUCCCGGCUCAACUGGGAGAGGCCGUUCGAAACUACCAGGACUAGAGGGCAGCAGAGGGAGGUGGAAUUCCAGGUGUAGCGGUG
rnacentral:rRNA from 1 species